rnacentral:lncRNA from 1 species
ACUGGCAUGAUCUCAUCAUGGCCCUAAAAUCAUUGUCCUAAUCUAAAAGAUUCAUUAUAAUCUUAAAUAAGUAUAAGAUGCUGCAUAUAAUGAAUCAAAAUACCUAAAUUUAUUAAUAAAUAAUAUCAAAAUAUGAGUUUGAAAAAUAAAAUAUAGAAAAAUAUCCCAUCGCAUCACAUAUGCAAGUAGUUUAUAGGAUAUUAUUC